AUUGAACGCUGGCGGCAGGCUUAACACAUGCAAGUCGAGCGAGCGGCGGACGGGUGAGUAAUGUUUGGGAAACUGCUUGCUGGAGGGGGAUAACUACUGGAAACGGUAGCUAAUACCGCAUACCAUCAGAUGUGCCCAGAUGGGAUUAGUUAGUGGGUGGGGUAAUGGCUCACCUAGGCGACGAUCCCUAGCUGGUCUGAGAGGAUGACCAGCCACACUGGAACUUAGACACGGUCCAGACUCCUACGGGAGGCAGCAGUGGGGAAUAUUGGACAAUGGGCGCAAGCCUGAUGCAGCCAUGCCGCGUGUGUGAAGAAGGCCUUCGGGUUGUAAAGCACUUUCGGCGGGGAGGCGUUACCCGCAGAAGAAGCACCGGCUAACUCCGUGCCAGCAGCCGCGGUAAUUC
rnacentral:rRNA from 1 species